CGCCUCCGUCCCGGCUGCGGCCCCUGCCGGUUACAUAACUGGUUGCGGGCUCCGCGCGGCCCCACUUCCUGGCUCCCGGCGAACCAAGGAUGCACUGAGCCCUAGAACGCUGUCCGCUGCCGCCGGCUCCCCCCCGAGGUGUGAAUGACAGAGGCAGUGCCGUCCAGCGCGCUCAGCGAGGUCAGCCUGCGCCUCCUCUGCCACGAUGACAUAGACACCGUGAAGCACCUGUGCGGCGACUGGUUCCCCAUCGAGUACCCAGACUCAUGGUAUCGUGAUAUCACCUCCAACAAGAAGUUCUUUUCCCUUGCCGCGACCUACAGGGGUGACAUCGUGGGGAUGAUUGUAGCUGAAAUUAAGAAUCGGACCAAGAUACACAAGGAGGACGGAGAUAUUCUGGCCUCCAGCUUCUCCGUGGACACACAGGUUGCGUACAUCCUCAGCCUGGGAGUGGUGAAGGAGUUCAGGAAGCACGGGAUAGGGUCCCUGUUACUUGAGAGUCUAAAGGAUCACAUAUCAACCACUGCCCAGGACCACUGCAAAGCCAUCUACCUGCACGUCCUUACCACCAACAACACAGCCAUAAGCUUCUACGAGAACAGAGACUUCAAGCAGCACCACUAUCUCCCUUACUACUACUCCAUCCGCGGGGUCCUCAAAGAUGGCUUUACCUACGUCCUCUACAUCAACGGCGGCCACCCCCCCUGGACCAUCUUGGACUACAUCCAGCACCUGGGCUCCGCGCUAGCAAACCUGAGCCCCUGCUCCAUCCCACACAGGAUCUACCGCCAGGCCCAGAGCCUGCUCUGCAGCUUCUUGCCAUGGUCUAGCAUCUCCACCAAGGGCGGCAUCGAGUACAGCCGGACCAUGUGACGCCAGCCAGGCAGCCUCCGCCGGGCCCCACCCCCCGGCAUCUGGCGGACGCCACCUUCCUGGCCAUCUGACUGCGGCUGUCCUCUGCAGAGGAACUGGCGGCCACCUGCCGGGCUGGUUGGCCCGCCCCAGCUGCAGGCCGGUGCUACGCGGGUUCGGGAGCAGAGCAACGUGGGGCAUGCCCUGUCUCCCCAGGCUCUCCCAGGCCUCCUACCCGCUCUGAAAACCUUCAGUUCUGCUGAGCCCUGGCCCAGCCCUGCGUGUGCACACCGGCCUCACGGGCAGCCCUGGUGGCAGCGUUCACUGUGGUCUGUUUUUUCCGCUGCUCCAGGCGCAAGGCCGUGGGAAGGGGCUUCUUCUCUGCGCCCCUCACUGGCCUCCCCCUGUCCUCAGCCCAUUCCUUCCAGUUCCUUCCUCCAAAGCCAGAAUUAACUUCUCAGAGGGAGAAACCCAAGUGUUACAGACACAUUUGACCCUAAAGACACAGGAGCCUGAGAAAAACAAGGGGUCGAAUACUGGGAACGCCAGCCCCUCUUCCAGAGCCAGCCCCCAGAGGCCCGGGGGCAGGGAGCAAUCUGAUCCCUCCACUUGGGGCUGGGGCUCCUGGGGGACAGCCAGGGAGGCCCUUCACCCACACCCUGAGCUCCGACUCUCAGGCUCUGCUCCCCACAUGGGCCUCAGGAUAACGGGCUGGAUGCUUACACCCCCACCGGGAGGAUGAGUCCUCCCACGGGCUGGCUUCAUUCUGUCCCAGGUGACCGGAGCUGCCCAGCCAACGGUGGACGUGCCAUUCACCUGAGCUGCUGUGGAGAGCCAGGUUGAGGACGUGUGCCGAUAAGGAUCCCCGGGGUCCAUGCCUCCCCCCAGGUUCCCAGCCCCUUGAGCUGCAGCUCUGAGGCCUGGCCAGAUACAAAGGGGACAGGGGACGACGCUGCACACUGCGUUGACCAAGUGAGACCCGGCCUUUGAGGCUGGGGGCAGUCACGUGCCUUGUGAUCUAUCCGCCUCUGGGGCAGAGACUCUGAGGGGAGUGUGCACGGAUCCCCCAGAGCUGCUCUCUGCCCGCCCUGCUUUCUGGAGCAGAUGGGGUGGUGCAGAGUUGUGCUUGGCCCAAGAGCUGGAGAGGGAACACGGCAGGUGGGGCUGCGUGACCGUGUCCUUCCCUCCCUUGGAACUUCCAAGCCUGGGGGCUCCCAGGAUGAAGGGCAUCUGGGCAGGAGGGCUUCAGCCUCCCCUCCUCCGAGCUGACAUCAGCUUCACGCUGAGGCCCAGCUAGGUGUCCUCCCUAAUCUGAAUCAACGAUGACCAUGUGAUUUUUUUUUUUCCCCCUGGCCCUUGGGGUAAGGCAAGAGUCUUCCAGAAUGUUCUGCCUUGGACAUUGGUAAUGAGCAUAGAGGCCUUGGCCUGCUCCUCCAUCCCGCCCCCUAAUCAUUGCAGUGUCCAGCCCAGUGUUGAACAGAUUGUAGUGUUUCUUCUCAUUACAGACAAAUAAAUAGACUUCAGUUGGUCACAUUCA